GGAAUGUAAAUAAUGAAACAAAAAGACUAAAUUACCCCUAUUAUUUAAUACUAGCCUUCACCUUCUUCUUCAUUUUUCUCUCGAGAACGAACCCUAGCAAAGCGGUUUUUCCCCCAAAUCAGUGAGCUUCACCAACGCCACCGCCACCGGAGCCGGUACUGGCGCCGCCAUUACUCUAAACAGAAGAUUCGUCUCCUUCUCUUCUCCAAUUCAUGUUCACACUGCUUUUCUCUGUGAAUUUUCUUCGAAUCUCAUAUUAAGGUUUGAGUUUUUUUCCAAAACAGUGGAGGCUUCACCAACGCCACCGCCAUCGGAGCUACGCCGGUGCCACCGUUACCCUAAACGGAAGACUGGUUUCCUUCUCUUCUUCGAGUUCAUGUUCGCAUUGUUUCUCUCUGCGAAUUUUCUUUGAAUCUCUCAUUAAGGUGAUGGAGUUUCAUUAUCCUUCUUCUCUUCUCUAAGUAAUUGGCAAAGUACCUCUUCAUAUGGUACCUACUAUGCCUCAAUGCAUCCAACAUGUUCUCCGUUAUGGAAUUCGUGUGCUUCAACUUCGGUGCUGAAGAAGAAGUAGCAGCCAUUUUUGAGAAAGUUCCUGAUCACAAAACAAUAGCUCGUCUUCAGUUGGCAGAUGCAAAGGAUGUAUUGGAAGGCAUUUAAGAUGUGAAAGGUGUUAGUUUUCCUAUAUUAACUCCAAACCUCAAAAUCUACUAUAUAUACUAUCAUCUACUCCUAAACAUCCAAACUUCGUUGAGCACACCAGUGAGAAAGCCAAGGAAGCUAAAGAUAUACAAGUGAGAUGAAAAGGC